rnacentral:rRNA from 1 species
AUUGAACGCUGGCGGCAUGCUUUACACAUGCAAGUCGAACGGUAACAGGCCGCAAGGUGCUGACGAGUGGCGAACGGGUGAGUAAUGCAUCGGAACGUGCCCAGUCGUGGGGGAUAACUACUCGAAAGAGUAGCUAAUACCGCAUACGAUCUAUGGAUGAAAGCGGGGGACCGUAAGGCCUCGCGCGAUUGGAGCGGCCGAUGUCGGAUUAGGUAGUUGGUGGGGUAAAGGCUCACCAAGCCAACGAUCUGUAGCUGGUCUGAGAGGACAACCAGCCACACUGGGACUGAGACACGGCCCAGACUCCUACGGGAGGCAGCAGUGGGGAAUUUUGGACAAUGGGCGCAAGCCUGAUCCAGCAAUGCCGCGUGCAGGAAGAAGGCCUUCGGGUUGUAAACUGCUUUUGUACGGAACGAAACGGCUCUGGUUAAUACCCGGGGCUAAUGACGGUACCGUAAGAAUAAGCACCGGCUAACUACGUG